AACGGGGAAGCCGAAAACCGAACUGAGUAGGCA
rnacentral:ncRNA from 1 species